CAGCAGCCGCGGGAAUACGGAGGGUGCAAGCGUUAAUCGGAAUUACUGGGCGUAAAGCGUGCGUAGGCGGUUCGUUAAGUCUGUUGUGAAAGCCCCGGGCUCAACCUGGGAAUGGCAAUGGAUACUGGCGAGCUAGAGUGUGUCAGAGGAUGGUGGAAUUCCCGGUGUAGCGGUGAAGUGCGUAGAGAUCGGGAGGAACAUCAGUGGCGAAGGCGGCCCCCUGGACAAAGACUGACGCUCAGGUGCGAAAGCGUGGGGAGCAAACAGGAUUAGAUACCCGCGUAGUCCCUGUCUCUUAUAA
rnacentral:rRNA from 1 species